rnacentral:misc_RNA from 1 species
GAUGAAGAACGUAGCGAAAUGCGAUACGUAGUGUGAAUUGCAGAAUUCAGUGAAUCAUCGAAUCUUUGAACGCACAUUGCACCUCUCGGUAUUCCUGGAGGUAUGCCUGUUCGAGCGUCAUUUGUACCCUCAAGCUCUGCUUGGUGUUGGGUGUUUGUUCCGCCUCUGUGUGUGAACUCGCCUCAAAACAAUUGGCAGCCGGCGUACUUGUUUCGGAGCGCAGCACAUUUUGCGAUCCUGAUCAACGUACAGCGGCAUCCAAGAAGCCUUAUUUAACGCUCUUGACCUCGGAUCAGGUAGGGAUACCCGCUGAACUUAAGCAUAUCAAUAAGCGGAGGA